rnacentral:rRNA from 1 species
UACAGAGGUCCCAAGCGUUGUUCUGAUUCACUGGGCGUAAAGGGUGCGUAGGUGGUCGGGUAAGUCUGAGGUGAAAUCUCCGAGCUCAACUCGGAAACUGCCUUGGAUACUAUCCGGCUUGAGGGUUGGAGGGGGGACUGGAAUUCUCGGUGUAGCAGUGAAAUGCGUAGAUAUCGAGAGGAACACCAGUGGCGAAGGCGAGUCCCUGGACAACUCCUGACGCUGAGGCACGAAAGCUAGGGGAGCAAACAGG